rnacentral:rRNA from 1 species
AGUGAACGCUGGCGGUAGGCCUAACACAUGCAAGUCGAACGGCAGCACAGUAAGAGCUUGCUCUUACGGGUGGCGAGUGGCGGACGGGUGAGGAAUACAUCGGAAUCUACUUUUUCGUGGGGGAUAACGUAGGGAAACUUACGCUAAUACCGCAUACGACCUACGGGUGAAAGCAGGGGAUCUUCGGACCUUGCGCGAUUGAAUGAGCCGAUGUCGGAUUAGCUAGUUGGCGGGGUAAAGGCCCACCAAGGCGACGAUCCGUAGCUGGUCUGAGAGGAUGAUCAGCCAAACUGGAACUGAGACACGGUCCAGACUACUACGGGAGGCAGCAGUGGGGAAUAUUGGACAAUGGGCGCAAGACUGAUCCAGCCAUACCGAGUGGGUGAAGAAGGCCUUCGGGUUGUAAAGACCUUUUGUUGGGAAAGAAAAGCAGCAGGUUAAUACCCCGCUGUUCUGACGGUACCCAAAGAAUAAGCACCGGCUAACUUCGUG